rnacentral:rRNA from 1 species
UACGUAGGGGGCAAGCGUUGUCCGGAUUAUUGGGCGUAAAGAGCGUGUAGGCGGCCAUACAGGUCAGCUGUGAAAACUCGAGGCUCAACCUCGAGACGUCGGUUGAAACCGUAUGGCUAGAGUCCGGAAGAGGAGAGUGGAAUUCCCGGUGUAGCGGUGAAAUGCGCAGAUAUCGGGAAGAACACCCGUGGCGAAGGCGGCUCUCUGGGACGGUACUGGACGCUGAGACGCGAAAGCGUGGGGAGCGAACGAGG